GAUGAACGCUGGCGGCGUGCUUAACACAUGCAAGUCGAACGAUGAUGCCCAGCUUGCUGGGUGGAUUAGUGGCGAACGGGUGAGUAACACGUGAGUAACCUGCCCUUGACUCUGGGAUAAGCCUGGGAAACUGGGUCUAAUACUGGAUAUGACUUCUCAUCGCAUGGUGGGGGGUGGAAAGAUUUAUUGGUCUUGGAUGGACUCGCGGCCUAUCAGCUUGUUGGUGAGGUAAUGGCUCACCAAGGCGACGACGGGUAGCCGGCCUGAGAGGGUGACCGGCCACACUGGGACUGAGACACGGCCCAGACUCCUACGGGAGGCAGCAGUGGGGAAUAUUGCACAAUGGGCGCAAGCCUGAUGCAGCGACGCCGCGUGAGGGAUGACGGCCUUCGGGUUGUAAACCUCUUUCAGUAGGGAAGAAGCGAGAGUGACGGUACCUGCAGAAGAAGCGCCGGCUAACUACGUGCCAGCAGCCGCAGUA
rnacentral:rRNA from 1 species